GGAUCAUCCCAACAGAGCUGGAUCAGCAAAGCUUGGCUUCAGGAGACAAAAAUAGGAUUUGUGGGUUACCAGAAGCUGUUUGAGUUCUAGCUAUUCCUAGGAAGAGGACUUCAGCUGUCUCAAUUCUAUACCUGCAGAGUCCCUCCGUGUCACAGGUCAGGCAGAGUCCUGCUGCUCGUCCUGAACAAAAGGGCUGUGUUUAGGAAGUGGGAGCUCUCAAACAGCCAGUCUGGCUGCGGGAGCUGGGAGCGCUGCCGGCGG
rnacentral:lncRNA from 1 species